CCGUCGUUCCCGGGAGUGGGGGCUAGCGGUCGGGAGUGUGGAGCAAGCUGAGCAUCCCAGGGCGGUCAAGAUGGCUAGGGUUUCGGCUGGUGCUUCGCGCUCGGGUGGGAGUUCAAGUGGAAAAGAUGGAGUGCGUACAAAAUUCCGCUUCAUGUUGACGAAUUAUAUGAUGAAAUCAUCAAGAGGUUAUGUUCGACAAGAACUUCUAACUGAGGCUCAACGCCUUGAAGCAGUGCACAGGGCAGUUAAGAAGAUAAUUGACUACCACCAAGAGCAGAUUCCAGAAACUGAAAAGUCGAUGGAACAGUAUAUAUGUCAGAAUGAAGUGCAAAUCAAGGAGUGUCUGAAGGGUCAAGUGCAACUGUUUUGGAAGGAGUCUUCGCAUUGAAGUCUGCCUGUCAAUUGCUUGACUUGUUCAAGCGCAACAUUAAAUGGAUUUGCUUAAUGCACAACAUGGCAUUGAAAUGUGCUUGCUGACCAGGAGAGUAAUGGCAUUUGUUUUCACUUGAUGGACCUAAAGUAGCAGGUAUUUACUUCUUUUGGAUAUUUAUUAUAUUAUUUGCAUGAUUCACUGUAUCUGCAAUACUGUAGAGGUGUACCGGGCUAACCUUUAUUUUUUUUUGGUCCUG